CGCGCGCGCCGGUGCGGGUGCGUGCGUGAGCGUGCGCGUCUCCGCUGUCGCUGUCGCUGCCGGUGCUGCACCCGCGCCCUCUGCCGCCGCCGCCGCCGCCGCCGCCGCCCGGGGUCUCCAGACUGAGGAGUGCGUCGGCCGCUGCCCAGCAGCGCCGCGGAGCGGGGAGCGGAGCCGGCGGGAGGGCGGGCGGGCGGGCGGACGGGCAGAUUAGCCUAACAUGGCAGACCAGAGACAGCGCUCACUGUCUACCUCUGGGGAAUCAUUGUACCAUGUUCUUGGGCUGGACAAGAACGCAACCUCAGAUGACAUUAAAAAAUCCUAUCGGAAACUUGCCUUGAAAUAUCACCCCGACAAGAAUCCUGACAACCCGGAGGCUGCAGACAAGUUCAAGGAGAUCAACAACGCCCACGCCAUCCUGACGGACGCCACAAAAAGGAACAUCUACGACAAGUACGGCUCGCUGGGGCUCUACGUGGCCGAGCAGUUUGGGGAAGAGAACGUGAACACCUACUUCGUGCUGUCCAGCUGGUGGGCCAAGGCCCUGUUUGUCUUCUGCGGCCUCCUCACGUGCUGCUACUGCUGCUGCUGCCUGUGCUGCUGCUUCAACUGCUGCUGCGGCAAGUGCAAGCCCAAGGCGCCUGAGGGCGAGGAGACGGAGUUCUACGUGUCCCCCGAGGACCUGGAGGCGCAGCUGCAGUCCGACGAGAGGGGAGGGCACUGACACUGUGCCGCGAGUGUUUGUGGUGGCAGCUGGGACUGUUGAGGUGUGAACGUGGACCCCGAGAGGCUACAGACACGCCGAUCGUCAUACAGCCGGCAUCUGCCACCGAGACCACUCAGCUCACAGCCGACUCCCACCCCAGCUACCACACCGACGGGUUCAACUAAAGCCGGGAGCAGCUGUGGUCAGGGGAGGAGGCAGCACCGGCCACGCCAACCUUAGAAUCGUGAACUGUAGUCACAGACGGGAAGGCGGCCUCCUGCCUGCCCUGGCCACGCCCCUCCUGCCUCCACGCCCGCCCAGCGUCGACCCUUGACCCACGAAGUGCGUAGCAUGCAGUAUUUAAAGCAGUGUAGCUACGGUCUUCUGUUCUUUUUCCUUUUUUAAUAGCAUGUGCGGGGUUCUGUUCCAUGUCUGUGUUGUGGACGUUCCGCGGCAUGGCCGGCCGCGUUAACCGCACGGUGGAGCUGCCUCCCGGCUUUCGGUCAGGGCGGUCCAGUGAGGGGUGACGGCAGCUGGUCAGAGGGGCGAGGAGAAUGGGGCUGCCCUUCCUCCCUGUGCUGGAGGCAGGUGGUGCCUGGCGGAGCUGUGUUGCCGUCCUGGCCUCAGGGUCUGGGCCACACGCUGUGCUCCCAGCCUUGAGCAAGCGGCAGCAGGGCCCUCCUCCUGCCUGAGAAGGGGCGGGGCACGUCCUCCCUGCGUCACCAUCAUUCCUUGGUGUCUGCUGGGUACAGUUGGCUUGGGGACUGUGGUUUCCUGGGCCUUGUGACAGGGUUUCUCCCGUGGGUGAAUUUGGUGUGGAGAGCGUCAGAGGCCCUUCUGAGGUGGAUGCCGCGUCCUCUGCACAGUGUUCUAGCCUGGGUCUCCUUGUUGCCUGGACUCUGAGGUUUAGGUCCUUGGAGGUGUGUCCUUCGCCCGUGUUGGGGUGGUUUGUUGGUGUUCCUGCACUUUUCCAGGGCUGUGAGCUGGAUCGAUGGGGCCAGUCUCCCCGUCCCCAGUCCUGGGGUCAUUCUCCACAUUCCUUCCAGCCCACCAGUCCUUUCCAGAGCCCUUUUUGGACCUUUAGAACCACAGAUGGUAGGACCAGCCAGAGGAGCCACAGUCAGAGUAGUUCAUGCAUGUGUGAGCACCCAGCCGCUGGGGAUGGCGGCUCUCCCAAGACCCCUCCUCCCGUGUUUGCCAGAGCUCCCGUCUGCCCCACUUGCCUUUGCCCCGUCAUCGAUGAUUCAGGCAGAGACAGAUUCGUUAGGUCCCUGGAGGAAGGACUGACUGGACCAGAGCGACCCUCCGGCUCAGGAGGGUUGGGUCCCUGGGAGGCCAGCAGCCAGACCACGGAAUCCACAUGUGGACCAUUGGAAGUCAGUCUCUUGUCCAUCCUAGACCUUGUAGGUGGUGCCCAGAGUAGGGGAGCAAGCCUGUGCUGGCAGGGGGGUCAGAGCUGCCCCACUCGGUGGCUCUUGGGAUGUGCUGGGCCUGCCCUUGGCCCCGUGCUGUAGACUCCAGUGGGCCUGGUUUCUGCAGAACAUCCACGAUGGCCUCCGCAGAGUUCCCAGUAGAGAUGAAGCUGAGGAAAAGGCUGUGUGUCUUGGCUCUGGCUUAGACCAACCAGACGAGCCUCCUCCAGCUCCCUUUCCCUGCCUGCCUGCUGACUCAUUGCCCUCAGCGGCCCACCCAAGGCUGUGCAGAGGGUAGGUUCAGGGUGACCAGAAAGUUGCCAGAAGGGGCAUGGAUGUGAGGCAGAUCUGGACGUGCUUAGGAGUGGUUUCGGUCCUUGGUGCUGGUUGCCCCCAGCUGCCCCCGACUGCAGAUCCCCAUGUAGGCCGUGAGCCAGCUGCCAGCACCAGGUCCUGGGGUGGUUGUGUUUGUCCCACGUUUCUUUGGUUUUUCUCACUAAAAUGAUCAUGAAGACAUUUGAUGAGGAGAGAUACGCACUGUGAUAUUAAGUUAGAAAUAAUUUGUCAAAAUCGGACCUCUCCUGAAAGAGUAAGAGACUCAUUGUUUGGCCCGUCCUGAGUAAGAGGUGGUGAGACAGUGAGAGCUUCCAUGCCACUCAACACAGCAGCAAGGUCAGCCCGAGAGGCCGGCCAUCGGCAGCCUUUGCAGUUUUUAUAGACGUAACUUAGGAAGUGAGCUAUUUUUCCCCAGACUGGCCAAGAGCCAAGUUCUAAGCUCGGACCUAAGGUAGAAAGCUGCCCAUCCGGGGCUGGCUCAGCCCCACAGGCUCUCUGUCGGCUCACACAGCUCUGUGGCUGGGACCCUCCAGGGCCCUUUGGUACCAUCAGAGCAGGCCGUUUGCCAGAUGGCUUUUCAGUUACAAUGUCCAAUGGACCAUUUUUUAGAACCAUGCGGCUCCCCAAAGAGGGUGGGGUAGGGUGGGGGAGAGGAGCAGGUCUGGAGGAUUGUGGAACCCAGUCCCUGCAGAAUUUGUAAAACGUAAAUAAACCAUGCCCAUGACAAUUCUCACGGUAGUGAUUGUGAUUAGAAGACCCCCAGGAAGCCCAGACCCUCGGGCAUGCAGUUCCUCUCACUGCCUGACCUGGAAACAAACCCUGUUUUCCGCGUUCUGCGCUGUUGGUUUUAAGGCCUUGUCUUAAUUCAAGGAAAAAGAUACUCCUGGGUUUUAUUUCUCUUUUUCUUGAGUAGACCGUUACCCUGUUAAUUAAAAGAGGUGAUGAGCCCCUGGGACAGCUUACAGGCCUCCCUGUCCAGGGGAGGACAGGGGAGACCAGGAUGCACCCGGCACCCCAGCCUGCUGGUGGCAGUGACAGGAGCUUCCUGACUCCGCACCCUUGGAGCUGUGGUCGAUGAGUGAGCCAGUGGGGCCUGGGCAAAGAGCAGCCCAUCGGGCGCGGCUGCCAGGGGCCUGCUGGGGUCAUCGUGCUUCAGGGCCUGUCCGGCUCACGAGGAGUCCAGGCAAUACAGCCAGCCUCGGACCUGCAGGAGGUGUGGGGGCGGCCCUGCGGUCCUUUCACGGCAGCUGCUGGUGUGGAGAUUUGUCCCCACUCGGUGAAGUGGGAUUUUUGUCUUCCUUUUGGCUUUAUUUUUAAACUGCUUUAGAUAUUACUGCUCAGUGUUUGUGAACCUGCCUAGUUCUGAUGUUCAGUUAAUGCAGCCGGCACCUAGUGGGGACCUAUUAGAAAAAGAACCUCACGUGUGCACACGCCCAGCAGGACGUGUCAUCUCCAUCGGCUGCUGCUGCCAUCCAGGAAAGACCCUGGAGCCUCAGGCGGCUGAGACUGGUCUCGGGGGCUGCAUGUCCCCUGCCACGCCCAGGGCGCCUGUUCGGGGUGGGCCGGGUGCUGCGGGGGCACCAGCACACAGGCUGCGGCUGGAGGGUCUCUUUGCUGUGGGCAGAGCUCGACUGGGUCUUGUCUGCCCUCCCUUGGCUCUGACUCAGUGCAUCCUACUGUGGGGCAUCUCCUGAGGGGACACGAAGUGACUGAUCUCACCCUUUCCCAGUAUUUGGAGCUGUGAACCCAUGUGGCGCAGGACUGACCUGUGUCUGUUAUUUUGAUUGUGAAUCAUCCUCCUGUGGAAUUGGCAAAAGCUACAUUUUUACUGUCCUUACCAGCAACGGUUCGCGUCGUCACAUGCUGUGAGUGUGGGCUGUGAUGUGUCUGUGUGUGUACAUAUGUGUAUAUGUAUAUAUCACGCAGCAAGCGUGUCAUGCUGCUGUCACCAGGCAGCAACAAGUACAGUAAAAGGCGGCUCU